rnacentral:rRNA from 1 species
UAAUACAGAGGGGGCAAGCGUUGUUCGGAAUUACUGGGCGUAAAGGGCGCGUAGGCGGCCUUCUAAGUCGAACGUGAAAUCCCUGGGCUCAACCCAGGAACUGCGUCCGAUACUGGAAGGCUUGAAUCCGGGAGAGGGAUGCGGAAUUCCAGGUGUAGCGGUGAAAUGCGUAGAUAUCUGGAGGAACACCGGUGGCGAAGGCGGCAUCCUGGACCGGUAUUGACGCUGAGGCGCGAAAGCCAGGGGAGCAAACGGGAUUAGAUAC